UAUGGGCAUAAAGGUAAUUUCAUAGCUAAUGAUAUCUUGACUUUACUCAUUACCAUUACAAUUCUAGCUAGGUCUACAAACAUCCAUCUUCUUCAUCAUUGUACCAUUCUUCAUUCUAUAUCAUCAGUACGAGUCUCUUUAUAGGACAAAGGGAAUUUCCAAUAACUGGUAAUAUGAAUUGUAAAUAAAUUACUAUAGAGAGAAGGAGGAGACUGAAGAGGGAAUUUCGGCAGAGACAGGUAAUUUUAUCUUCUUGUUGUUUAAUGAUAAUAUUAUGAUACUAUGGUGUAUUGAUUUGACCACCGUCUACCAGGUUCUGUUAAUGUUCAUAAAAGUUCUCUUUAGUCGUAUUGUGUAUAAAGUUAUUUUCUUUAGUUUCUACUUAGUUAAAAAAAUCAGCAAUCUUAACGGAUUUACUUUCAUUGAUCUCAGUUGUGUGUUUGUAAAAUCAUUACUUGACCUAAUAAUAUAACCUCCUUCUGAAGAUGUUAAUAUGGAUAAUUUUGAGGAUUUGAGGACUUCAAAGCGAAUUGUCAUUUAUAAUGAGGUAUAUUUAAUUGCUUGAUAUAGUUUUUUAGGAGAUCUUUUUGGGUUAUGUUUUUAAGGCUAUGACCUUCUAAAUUACACUUGUUGUUCAUGUUUUCUAUAGCACAAUUCCAUGUCAGAUUUUACUUUUAGCUUGCUUCGGGGAUUUCUUCAUCAGGAAAACUUCGUGAUAACUGUUUUAAUCUAUUUGAAGCAUUGGCGAUGAAAUAAUUAUAUACGGGUGUGCAGACAUGAAUAUGACUUUUAAUGAUGAUAUAGUGACAGUUGAGCUUUUGCCUCAAGAACAGUGGCAUGAGGAGAAGUCUUUGGCAUUAGAUGAUGAAGAUUUGUCCACAUUUUUCUUUUACUUUAAUGAACAUGAUUUUCUUUUAUAUUGCAAAAUUGAUCUACUUUUCUUUAGAACUAGGCAAAAUGGCCUUGAUUUG
rnacentral:misc_RNA from 1 species